UACGUAGGGUGCGAGCGUUAAUCGGAAUUACUGGGCGUAAAGCGUGCGCAGGCGGUUUUGUAAGCCAGAUGUGAAAUCCCCGGGCUUAACCUGGGAACUGCGCUUGUUACUGGCAGGCUGGAGUGUGGCAGAGGGGGGUGGAAUUCCACGUGUAGCAGUGAAAUGCGUAGAGAUGUGGAGGAACACCGAUGGCGAAGGCAGCCCCCUGGGCUAACACUGACGCUCAUGCACGAAAGCGUGGGGAGCAAACAGG
rnacentral:rRNA from 1 species